CACGUAGGGGGCAAGCGUUGUCCGGAUUUAUUGGGCGUAAAGAGCUCGUAGGCGGCUCAGUAAGUCAGGUGUGAAACCUCCAAGCUCAACCUGGAGACGCCACCUGAUACUGCUGUGGCUAGAGUCCGGUAGGGGAGCGUGGAAUUCCUGGUGUAGCGGUGAAAUGCGCAGAUAUCAGGAGGAACACCAGCGGCGAAGGCGGCGCUCUGGGCCGGAACUGACGCUGAGGAGCGAAAGCGUGGGUAGCAAACAGG
rnacentral:rRNA from 1 species